UGAAUUAAUUUUACUUUAAUAAUAUAGAAACGUUCAUAUUUACGUGUUCGCAGUGUUUAGAACUGGCUAGCCAGCUGGUUGUCACGCCGUUUUUCUCUCGUUUAAAAGCAGCGUUAGCGUUUAUAUCAUCUAAAAUGUCAGCUAGCGAUAUUAGCUAAGGAGCACGGUUUAGUAAGUUUUUGAAUUAACUCUAUAUUAAAAACAUGGAAACGUUCAUAUUUGCGUGUUCGAAAUGUUUAUAACUUGCUAGCCAGCUGGCUGUCACGCCCUUUUUCUCUCUUUUAAAAGCAACUUAAGCGUUUAAAUCACCUAAAAUGGCAGCUGGUAAUAUUAGCUAACGAAUGAAUGAAUGAAUAAUCAAUCAUUCAAUAACUUUGCAGUUAUGUCAGCGCGUUACGUGUGCGUUUUUACCUAUGAAAUAUGUCGUAAGACAAAUUUGGCAUUCCUGUGCUUCAUUUUUCAUUAUAAAACGUAGCAUUCUCUUGCUUGCAAUGUGGAUAUCUGCCUGGAGGGUUAACCAGAAUUAGUCAUGUUAAACGGUUUUCUGGUCAGUUCAUUAUUAGCUAAUACUAUUAAUUUAAUCGUUUAUGUCCAAAGGUUUAAAAGAUGUGGCAUGACAGUACAGUAGACAAACGUUUCACGUGAUUUACAACAGUGUAACUGUGUUUUUGCAUAGGUCUAUCAAAGAGUAAUGACCUCUCAGUAGCUUCUUUAAAAAUACAGGUGUUUAAAUUUCAUGAACGGAACUUAAAAUGUAAGCACUACAAUGGAGUGUGAGUACCUGUGUGUCUGGACACGCCGAGGGACCCCUACAAGUCAAAGGGCAGGAGCAGGAAUUGAGCGGGUUCCAUAAAAUAUUGCUUUCUGCGGCAGGUGCUCUUGUUGCAAUUUUGCAGAAAAUGCAACUGAUUGAUAACCUCUUUCGGCUAUGUCAAGUGGCUUCGUAGACAGCCAGCCCAGCCUGGGACUCGGACGGACGCCGCAGUCCAGUACAUCAGGCGCAGAGACCAGGAGCACAUUGCUCCGAUCCUGCCGAAGUCCCGAGUAGAGGUCCCGCAGCCCCUGCUUCCGGCUCCGAUGAAGAGGAAGGCGGGCCCCAGCCACAGCGGUCCUUCCGGGCCACCGAGGCCUGCCUCGCAAAGUUCUGAGCUGCCGCUUCCUGAGAGUUGGCGUGCGGCCUUCUCGAGGGAACAGCGGGAGCGGAUUGGUCGGGCGCUGUAUGUAUUGUAUGAGAAAUGUACUGGAUCAAUAAACAUGCACGGAUGAAGUGCUA